GGCUUUCUGAAUCCGUGCCGAUAUUUUGUCAGAUACCAGUCCAUCGGGACUGAUGACUCCCAAGGUAAGUAAAGCG
rfam:Schistosoma haematobium scaffold3407_4, whole genome shotgun sequence.